rnacentral:rRNA from 1 species
UUCCGGUUGAUCCCGCCGGACCCGACUGCUAUUUGGGUGAGGAUAAGCCAUGCGAGUCGAAUGGGAUACCUAAAUUUCCCAUGGCGAACUGCUCAGUAACACAUGAUCAACUUAACCUAUUGAGAAAGAUAACCUCGGGAAACUGAGGAUAAUAUUUCAUAGUUGAAUUGGCUUGGAAAAGUUUUUCAACAAAAGGGAUAGGGAAAAUGGUCUCUAUCCGCUAUAGGAUAGGAUCGUGUUCGAUUAUGGUAGUUGGUGAGGUAACGGCUCACCAAGCCGAUAAUCGAUAGGGGCCGUGAGAGCGGGAGCCCCGAGAUGGGUACUGAGACAACGACCCAGGCCUUACGAGGCGCAGCAGGCACGAAACCUCCACAAUACACGAAAGUGUGAUGGGGUUACCCAAAGUGUUCAUUAUUGAACUGUGGUAGGAGAGUAAUGUCCCCUACUAGAAAGGAGAGGGCAAGGCUGGUGCCAGCCGCCGCGGUAAAACCAGCUCUUCAAGUGGUCGGGAUAAUUAUUGGGCUUAAAGUGUCCGUAGCCGGUUUAGUAAGUUCCUGGUAAAAUCGGGUAGCUUAACUAUCUGUAUGCUAGGAAUACUGCUAUACUAGAGGGCGGGAGAGGUCUGAGGUACUACAGGGGUAGGGGUGAAAUCUUAUAAUCCUUGUAGGACCACCAGUGGCGAAGGCGUCAGACUGGAACGCGCCUGACGGUGAGGGACGAAAGCCAGGGGAGCGAACCGGAUUAGAUACCCGGGUAGUCCUGGCCGUAAACGAUGCAUACUAGGUGAUGGUAUGGCUAUGAGCCAUAUCAGUGCCGUAGGGAAACCGUUAAGUGUGCCGCCUGGGAAGUACGGUCGCAAGGCUAAAACCUAAAGGAAUUGGCGGGGGAGCACCACAAGGGGUGAAGCCUGCGGUUCAAUUGGAUUCAACGCCGGG